rnacentral:lncRNA from 10 species
UUAAGGAAACCAAAGCCCACGAGGGAAAACAACUUGCCCAAGAUCAAAGCAAAAUGGAGGCAGAGCUGGAACCAUGGUCUUGAGACUACUGAGUCCCAGUUGCAGAUGGUGAUCACACAAUCCAGAAAGGAACAGUAGCUCUUUGAGAUAUUCUUUCAGAUCCUGCAUACUGAAACUACUGAUGCCAGCUGGUCUGUAGGAUUCUAUGAGAAGUUGACUCACCAAUGAAUGAAGUUUCCACAUCCUGAUGAUCUCAUCCCCUUGCCACAAUGAAUCAACAGCCCCAAUUUUCCAGCCCCUUGCCCUCCAAAAUCUCCUUAAAAACCCCAGUCCAGAACUCCCCGGAGGAUAUGGAUUUGAGGAUUCCUCUCGUCUCUCUACUUGGCUGCCCUGCAAUCAUUAAACUCUUUCUCUGCUGCAAACCAUGCUGUCUCAGUGUAUUGGUCUAUUA